rnacentral:rRNA from 1 species
UACGGGGGGGGCAAGCGUUGUUCGGAAUUACUGGGCGUAAAGGGCGCGUAGGCGGCUCGCUAAGUCGGAUGUGAAAACUCUGGGCUCAACCCAGAGCCUGCAUUCGAAACUGACGAGCUGGAGUUCUGAAGAGGAGAGCGGAAUUCCCGGUGUAGAGGUGAAAUUCGUAGAUAUCGGGAGGAACACCAGUGGCGAAGGCGACUCUCUGGGCAGAUACUGACGCUGAGACGCGAAAGCAUGGGGAGCAAACAGG